rnacentral:rRNA from 1 species
GAUGAACGCUGGCGGCGUGCCUAAUACAUGCAAGUCGAGCGAACAGACGAGGAGCUUGCUCCUCUGACGUUAGCGGCGGACGGGUGAGUAACACGUGGAUAACCUACCUAUAAGACUGGGAUAACUUCGGGAAACCGGAGCUAAUACCGGAUAAUAUAUUGAACCGCAUGGUUCAAUAGUGAAAGACGGUUUUGCUGUCACUUAUAGAUGGAUCCGCGCCGCAUUAGCUAGUUGGUAAGGUAACGGCUUACCAAGGCAACGAUGCGUAGCCGACCUGAGAGGGUGAUCGGCCACACUGGAACUGAGACACGGUCCAGACUCCUACGGGAGGCAGCAGUAGGGAAUCUUCCGCAAUGGGCGAAAGCCUGACGGAGCAACGCCGCGUGAGUGAUGAAGGUCUUCGGAUCGUAAAACUCUGUUAUUAGGGAAGAACAAAUGUGUAAGUAACUAUGCACGUCUUGACGGUACCUAAUCAGAAAGCCACGGCUAACUACGGG